rnacentral:rRNA from 1 species
GACAGAGGAGCCAAGCGUUGUCCGGACUGACUGGGCGUAAAGCGCCCGCAGGCGGCCGUGCACGUGGGGGUGUGAAAAGCGCUCGGCUUAACUGAGCGAGGCCAUCCCAUACGGCGCGGCUCGAGCCGUCCAGAGGCCGGUGGAAUUGCCGGUGUAGUGGUGAAAUGCGUAGAGAUCGGCAGGAACACCCAGGGGGAAACAGCCGGC